rnacentral:rRNA from 1 species
UCAAAAACAUGGUUUCUUGAUUAUAUAAGAAAUUUAACCUGCCCACUGAAGAAUUUUGAAGGGCCGCAGUAUUUUGACUGUGCAAAGGUAGCAUAAUCAUUAGUCUUUUAAUUGAGGGCUUGUAUGAAUGGUUGGACGAGGCAAAUUCUGUUUUAUAAUAAUAUAUUGAAUUUUGAUUUUGAGUAAAAAGACUUAAAUGAUAUUAAAGGACGAGAA